UCCGGUGAUUGACGUGUAAAUGGCUGACAAAUUUAAGAAAGAUGCUACUCCACCGCCGUUGCUUUUAAUGCCGGCCGGUGGAGGCCUUACUCUUACUCCCCCUGAUCAGCCAAGUUUGUUUAUGCCAGUUGUUCAAUCAGAACCAUCAUUGUUUGGUCCAGAGGAUGAUGUUCUUGGUGAAGCUGACAGUUUUGUUGGACAAUCUCCACCACAAUCCACAACUGGUGGUCAGUAUGGUGUACCCCAGGGAAUUCCCCCGCCUGGCCCCCCUCCGUCUGCCCUCUUCCAGAGCACUCUCAGCAACAGUGGCCCCUUUGUUCAAGGUCUCCAAGGGUCUACUGGCAGGCCUUCCCCUGGGUCUACACCGCCAUUGUCCCAGGCACCCACACAUCCCUCUAUGCCAUCACAUGGACUGGGUGUGGGAAUGACUCCGCUAGUUCCAUCAGGCCAUGUUCCUGCCUCAACGCACAUGUCUGCUGCAUCACCUAUGCCCAACUCGAGUGGACUACAGGGCUUGUACAGAAAGCAUGGUUCAAGUCGGUAUGCCCAAAUGCCUGCUGGGACGUACGCAGGGUCAGGGUCUUCCCCAGCUGCCCUCAUGUCUGCGCCCCCAGCACCUGUGCCUUUCUCCCAAAAUUUCUUAGAAGCCUCGGGCUUCGACCUGGCCGCCUCUGUGCAAACUUCAGGUCAAGGUUAUGGCAGUGGCCUGCCUCAGACGUUGCCUGCCCAGCCCAGUCUGGGCCCCAUGCAGGGGAUGGGGUAUGUCCCAAGUGCUAUAGGCACGUAUCUCCCUGUGGCCAACCACUGGUGCUACUGUGCUAACGUUGAGGGUCGAGACAUCUGGUACCCCCUGUCUAUGGCAGAUAAUCUGGCGCUAGAGGAAGCACUCAAGUCAGGAGACUGCAACAUCGUGGUACCCAUCGAGGGUGGCAGGUAUGAUGUGAACCUCUCAGAACGCAAGCGAUACCCAGUGUACUGGGAGGAGGAGCCCAAGGCAGUGCGCAGGUGCAGCUGGUUCUACAAGCGCGAGGGCGACAACAGAUACGUACCCUAUGAUGAGAAUCUCUGCAACAGGCUGGAGGAUGAGUACAGAACGGCGGUCACCAGUGGGGUGUGGCACAAACCCAUCCAGUUUGAGACUGGUGAGACCAUAGUGAUGCACAACACCAACGUGAUGGUCCACUACCAGCCUUCCUCCCAGCCCGACGAGUGGGGAACCACACAGGUGAGCCAGAUUAACCCCUCAAAGGGAGACCAGAUGCGUCCGAGAGUGGUGAAGCGUGGUGUGUCAGACUUCGAUAUCACUGAGGGGGAGUCCCGCCAGGUUGAUCACCUCGUGUUUGUGGUCCACGGCAUCGGCACUGUGUGCGAUAUCCGCUUCAGGAACAUCGUGGAGUGUGUUGAUGAUUUCCGGUCGAUCUCCCAGUCGCUGUUAUCGAGUCACUUCAGUGAGUAUGUAACGUCCAACAGGAUAGGCCGUGUGGAGUACCUACCUAUACAGUGGCAUGUGGCUGUACAUGGGGACGCCACGGGCAUUGACAAACGUCUCAAAGAAAUCACGUUGCCUAGUACCCAGAAGCUUAGACAUUUUGUGAACGACACUCUUCUUGAUGUCUUGUUCUACACAAGCCCAAAGUAUUGUCAGUGUAUAGCAGACACGGUAGGGAGGGAGAUCAACAGACUGCAUGAACUGUUCAUGGCACGUAACCCACACUUCAGGGGAGGCAUCUCUGUAGCAGGACACAGUCUAGGUUCGUGUAUAUUGUUUGAUUUGCUGCAACACCAAGGUGACCAAUCAGAUUUCUCGAAUGACACACCAAUGACCAAUGGGAAGAUUGAACAGGAAUCUUCUGUCGUCCAAGAGCCAAUGUUUCAGGCAUUGGAGGAAAGUUUCCACCAGGACCAAGAAGAAGAGGAGGAAUCUACAAUGACACUAGAGAGUCUCCUUGCCAAGGUGGGACUGCAGGAGAAAGCCCAGCUGUUUGAGGCAGAGCAGAUUGACUUGGAAUCAUUGUCGAUGUGCAGUGAUUCUGAUCUCAAAGAUCUGGGGCUGCCCAUGGGACCUCGCAAGAAAUUGCAGGGACUACUGACAGAACAAAUCCAUAAUAAGGAGAAGAAAAAGCAGGUAGUUGAACAACGAAAAAGAGCGGAAGAAGAUCGGAAAAUACGAGAGAGAGUUGCCAUGGAGAUGGCCUUGAAGCAACAGCAGCAGAAGCAGUCCAAUAAUGCCUCAGGUAGCCCCUCCAACGUCUCUGUGGACUACAUAGUGGGGCUGGGAGGCACGGGGCAGCCCCACAUCAAGUACCCACAGCUCCAGUUCAGCCCCGUAUGCUGUUUUGCCCUGGGGUCCCCUGUGGGUCUCUUCCUUUCAGCAAGGGGCCUUGAGACCAUUGGUGAGGAGUUCAGGCUUCCCACCUGCCAGAAAUACUUCAAUAUAUUUCACCCGUUUGAUCCUGUGGCUUACAGACUGGAGCCCCUGAUCAACCCAUCUGUGUCAAAUAUCAAGCCAGUACUUAUGCCCCACCACAAGGGACGGAAAAGACUUCAUCUUGAGUUGAAGGAGAGCCUCGCCAGGAUGGGGACGGACAUCAAGCAAAAGAUCAUUGACUCCCUCAAGUCCACAUGGAUGUCUCUCAACAACUUUGCCCGUGCCCACAGUUCAGAUGGUACCUCGGCAGGGGUGGGCGGUGAGAGUCUGGAACAGCAGGUUGAGGCAGAGAUGUCACACGUUGCCCAGCAACUGGAAGAUGACGACCGCUCCUCUGUGACGUCCAACGUUGAGGAUAUCUAUAUAGGUCAGCUGAACGAGGGUCGGCGGGUGGACUACGUCCUUCAAGAGAGACCCAUAGAGAGCUUUAACGACUACAUGUUCUCCCUUACUAGUCAUGGGUGCUACUGAUCAAGGGGAGACAUAUGAAUUUCGCGUACUGGCAAAGAACGAGGUUGACUUUGGGGAAAGGGCUGUAGUGGAACUAGUGACACCAGAUGGAGGUAUGUGCAACACACCUUAACUCGGUUGUCAGAAAUGUUGAAACAUGAGAUGUGCUCAAGGAAAACGGGGCUUAAUGCAUGUGUAUGAAGUGUUUGAUAUCUAACCUGUGACUGCACAGGCUAAUAGAAGGAUGACACUUUCCGCCUUUAUUGGAUUUAAAUUUAGAAGAGAAUUCCUUUAAAUAAGAAAUUCCAUAAAAGCGGAAAUCCCAUAUUAGCCAGGGCAGACUGCAAAGGCUACUCUGUGAUGACUUCUUACUGCAUAUGCAUUAAGCACCGUUUACCCAGAGGGCGGGUCAUAUUAAUUGAAAGUAAUUUCAACAUUUUUAUGCCCCCCUUCGAAGAAGAGGGGGUAUAUUGCUUUGCACAUGUCUGUCGGUCAGUCCACCAGGUGGUUUCCGGAUGAUAACUAAAGAACGCUUAGGCCUAGGAUCAUGACACUUCAUAGGUAGAUAGAUCAUGACUCGCAGAUGACCCCUAUUUAUUUUGAGGUCACUAGGUCAAAGGUCAAGGUCAUGGUGACCCGAAAUAAUAAAAUGGUUUCCAGAUGAUAACUCAAGAACACUUAUGCCUAGGAUCAUGAAACUUCAUAGGUAGAUUUAUCAUGACGAACGCAUAUGCCUAGGAUCAUGAAACUUCACAGGUAGAUAGAUCAUGACUCGCAGAUGACCCCUAUUGAUUUUUAGGUCAGAAGGUCACUACGGCAAGGUCACGGUGACCCGAAAUAGUAAAAUGGUUUCCGGAUGAUAACUCAAGAACACAUAUGCCUAGGAUCAUAAAAUUUCAUGGGUAGAUUGAUCAUGACUCGCAGAUGACCCCUAUUGAUUUUGAGGUCACUAGGUCAAAGGUCAAGGUCACGGUGACCCGAAAUAGUUAAAUGGUUACCGGAUGAUAACUCAAGAACACCUACGCCUAGGAUCAUGAAACUUCAAAGGUACAUUGAUCAUGACUCGCAGAUGACCCUAUUUGAUUUUCAGAUCACUAGGUCAAAGGUCAAGGGUACGGUGACCCGAAACAGUAAAAUUGUUUCCAGAUGAUGAUAACUAAAGAACGCUUUUGCCUAGGAUCAUGACACUUCAUAGGUACAUUGAUCAUGACUCGCAGAUGACCCCUAUUGAUUUUCAGGUCACAAGGUCAAAGGUCAAGGUCACAGGGACAAAAAACGUAUUCACACAAUGGCUGUCACUACAACGGACAGCCCAUAUGGGGGGCAUGCAUGUUUUACAAACAGCCCUUGUUAAAAGUAUCGUUUUCUCAUGAAGAACCAAAAGGCCAUUUUUAUUUAAGAAAAAUAUUUAAAGUGACUAAAUUUAACAUAAGCCUUAUUCUACAUCUGGUUAUGAAAUAUUUAAUAAUUCUAUAUCAGUUAACAUAAACCCAUUUAUGCCUAGCGUCUAGAAAAAAUGCCUUGGCAAACAGCGUAGACCCAGAUGAGACGCCGAAUGAUGAGGCAUCUCAUCUGGGUCUGCGCUAUUUGCUUAAAGGAAUUUCUGAAAGAAAUAUUCUAAAUAUAGAAAUAAAUAUACUAGACAUUCCUAAUUUUGGAAAUAAAUUGAUCCAGUUUAGAAGGAUGGGAGAGUCCACUAGGCAAAAAUGGGUUAAACAUAAAACAUAAAAGUAAUAUCUUCGUGGAUAAUUCUUUGGGGUAAUUCUAGCAGGGUUCAAUUCUACCAAUGGGUCAUUCUACAUGAAGUAGUUAAAAAUACAGUUAUUGCAUACAUUAUGCAUAUUGUUAUUUCACAUGGGUAUUUUUGCAUUGGAUAACAGGGGUGAUUUAAAAAAAAAGGGUUGUUCUUACAAUUGGCAAAAUUGCGUAUGGUCACAGAAAUCAGAUCCUCCUUAGUUUUUUUGUACACAGUUUAUUAUAUGAUGAAAAGUUCAGAUGUUCAUUAAAUUUUCACAGAAAUUUAAUUGAUUAAGCCCCCCUUCGAAGAAGAGGGGGGUAUAUUGUUUUGCACAUGUCGGUCCGUCCGUUCGUAUGUCCGUCCACCAGAUGGUUUCCGGAGGAUAACUCAAGAAUGCUUACGCCUAGGAUCAUGAAACUUCAUAGGUAAAUUGAUCAUGACUGGCAGAUGACCCCUAUUGAUUUUGAGGUCACUAGGUCAAAGGUCAAGGUCACAGUGACUCGUUCUUGGAUGCAGUUUAGGACCACAUUUGCAGAUUAUAUUAUGUACUGAUGGGUGGGGUCUCCGUCCCAACCAGAUGGUUUUCAGAUGAUAACUCAAGAACGCUUAGGCCUAGGUUAAUGAAACUUCAUAGGUAAAUUGAUCGUGACUGGCAGAUUGCCCCUAUUGAUUUUUAUGUCACUAGGUUAAAGGUCAGGGUCACAGUGACUCGAAAUAGAAAAAAUGGUUUCCGGAUGAUAACUCAACAAUACUUACGCCUAGGAUCAUGAAACUUCAUAGGUAUAUUGAUCAUGACUGGUAGAUUACCCCUAUAGAUUUUCAGGCCACUAGGUCAAAGGUCAAGGUCACAGUGACUUGAAACAGUAAAAUGGUUUCCGGAUGAUAAUUCAAGAAUGCUUACGCCUAGGAUCAUGAAACUUCAUAGGGACAUUGAUCAUGACUGGCAUAUGACCCCUAUUGAUUUUCAGGUCACUAGGUAAAAGGUCAAGGUCACAGUGACAUUAAACAUAAUCACAAUGGUUGCCAUUACAACUGACAGCCCAUAUGGGGGGGCAUGCAUGUUUUACAAAAAGCCCUUGUUACUUUUUAUACUAAAUAGAUAUGUUGUUGUAUACUUCAGUCGUUUUCGUUAUGUACGGAUCGAAUGAAUUAGCUAUAAAUAUAAGCUUACGCAAUUUCCGUAUCAAGUGAUUACUCGUCAUCUCCUUCUUUUGCAAACUAUCAGUUUGAACGUUCACAUUGAAAAAAAAAACACCCACCGCACCCCGAUUCUCAUUUUCAGUAUACAGCUUUACACAGUUGCAUAUUAUCUACUAUGGUUUAGUGCCAUAUCUCUUAACACUAGCGACUCAAAUUGUUCGUUCUAUGAUACUGCCGACAAGUCUUCUAUUUCAAGUACAAAUCCACCGGCUUCUGGCGGGCUCCUAAAGUCUGGGGGCUGCAAUCCAAGCACAUUGCGGUGCCGGGGCAAGCAAUACCCUCACACGAUCGUUCUAGGUCCACCGUUCGGUCCGGUACAUAAAGGACGCAUAUCGACGGGCAGUGUGACACAGUGCUUGGCACCUCUUCAUUGCUUGAACUGAUUAAUAUCUGUCGUGUGUAUAAUUGCCAAGUAUUAUGGCUUCUUGUGAAGAUCCACGUAUGCAAACAUUCAUUAUGUUGCCUUUUUAAUAUCUCAUAUUAAUAUGUCUACUUAUGCUAUUGUCAUAUGUGUAUUUUUAUUUGUGUUUGCGGGCAAUGUGACACAGUGCUUUGAACUUCUUCAUUGCUUAAACUGAUUAAUAUCUGUCGGGUGUAUACUUGCCAAGUAUUAUGGCUUCUUGUGGUGAUCCACGUAUACAAACAUUCAUUAUGUUGCGUUUUGAAUAUCUCAUUUUUAAUACGUCUACUUAUGUUAUUGUCACGUGUUUUUUUUAAUUGUGUUUGCUUUCCUGUCGCAGUGCGGAAAAUUCUGUUUGCCGGGGUCGGAUGGGCAUGCCGACUUAUUUUAAAACAUAUAUCUCUUAAAGCUAACCUUAACGACAUUGACUUAACACAUUUGCUUGGAUGGAUUCUGCGUUACUUGUAACAUUAGCGUUUUCUUUCGGGUAAAUUCCUACUUAUUCUUAAACAUAUAUCUCUUAAAGCUAACCUUAACGACAUUGACUUAACACAUUUGCUUGGAUGGAUUCUGCGUUACUUGUAACAUUAACGUUUUCUUUCGGGUAAAUGCCUACUUAUUCUUAAACAUAUAUCUCUUAAGGCUAACCUUAAAGACAAUGACUUGACACAUUUGCACGAAUGGACUCUGCGCUACUGUGAACCAUCAGCGGGUCCUUCCGGAUACGUCAAAGAAAUUAUAGCCUUAAGUUUAUAACAUAGUAGCAAUACCGUGGGGCAAAAACUUUAUGUUUAAAGGUCCGUUUUUUAAAGUGUGUAACCGUUGGUCCGAGUUAUAGUGUGUAAAAAGUGUGAAAUCGCUGGUGUAGCGAUAGUUAUAAAGUGUGUAAAAGUGUGAAAUCGCAGGUGUAGCGAUAGUUAUAAAGUGUGUUAAAGUGUGAAAUCGCUGGUGUAGCGAUAAAUAGUAUUAUGGACCGAGUUUAAAAGUGUGUAAAUAUCGGACCUAAAAAGUGUGAAAUCACUGGUUGAGCGAUUAGUGGUAUUAUUGUGUUGGUCCGAGUAAUACGUGUUUUAAAAGUGUGAAAUCGCUGGUGGAGCGAUAAGUGGUAUAAUUGUCCGAAUUUAAAGUGUCUAAUCAAUCGCUGUCCGAGUUAUAAAGUGUGUAAAUGUCGGACUCCAAAAAAGUGUAGAAUCGCUGGUGGAGCGAUAAGUGGUAUCGUGUGUUAUAGUGUCUGUCGAGCGAUUGGUAGAACUAGGUUUAGCCCAGUCCAGUGAAUGGUUUUCCUAGUUCGUCGCUCCUGAAACAUUUUUUAAUUGGGCAUCGGUGUUGCUGCUAAUGGCGUAACUUCACAUUGGUAAUUUAACGGGCGCUCAUCCACCUCCGGUAGACAUAAUUUUUCAAGACAAUCCGGGUCACGUAUGACAGCCAACCUUGAUACCGUGGUUACCACUGGCUGUUUUUUCUGUACCGCUGCGGCCAUUCAAUUCCACACUUCAAUUACUUUUUAUACUAAAUAGAUAUGUUGUUGUAUACUUUAUAAUAUGUUGUUUUAUAUUCACGUAAUCGGUAUUUGAAAGCAAAAUAUGAUGACAUAGUAUUAUAAAACCAGUUAACUAAGUAAUGGGUUGUUAUUUAAUUGUUGCAGUCGUAAAAUAAUUUGAUUUUGUAUGAAUGUGUUCGCUAUGUCAAUAAUACGUUUCAGUUCAGCUUAAAUUAUUUUUAGAUCUUACUGUUUUUUCAUGUUGUUGUUUUGUCGUCAUGUAAAUAAUAUGUCUCUCGUUCUAUUGUUGAUUUACAAUAUUAAAUGAUUAAAAACAGUUUUUGUCAUUCAUUAGCGACGGCAACGCUGUGUCAGUAUUAAGUCACUUCCGGGGAAUUUCCGAAAACCGAAAAAAAAACGAAAGUAGAAUUCAUGGAGUAAUGGUACAGUACACAAAGUUGAUUUUGUUCAUUUUUUCCAACAGAUGUUGACCGAAUAUCCGAAUGUUCGUUUGGAAGAUGGCCGAAUAUUCGAAUACCAAAAUCGGUAUUCGUUUCCAUCACGGGUAAAUAUACUUUAAUUCAGGUUACGGCGAGUAUGGAAAUAGUGAUUAUUCUUGUUUAUGUAGAUGGCGAUAUAAAAUUAAUGGAUAUUGCAGUACCUUACUGUUUCUCUCCUAUAAACCCUAUAUAUCAAUGCGUAAAAGCGAGACGGAGAAUAAAGCACUUAGUAACGUGGUUUUCUUCGUAUAUUGAAGUAUAUGUAUUUUAGAAGUUGCUACAGCAGCCUUCAGAUAACAUACAAGUGGCAUUAAAACAUGUUGUUGUGCUCGUAUUUUGAACUUAUUACGCGCCCAUGGAGUGUGGUGGUGACAUCCGCCAUAUAAAGGCAUUGCAGUUGCAUGACAACAUUAUGAUCUUGUUGUUGACGAAGGUGGUAUCUAUAGGGACACAUUGCAAGGAUUAUUUAAAGUUGAAGGUGCCACAAACGGCAAUGUAUGACGUCUGUAUACGUGUUGUGUGGGUUUAAUUGUUUGUUCGGAAGCGCAAUGAAUUACAUUCAUCGAAUGUGUUCCUGUUUUAUAUUACUCGAAUAAAUCAAACUUGGUUGUAAAACUUCGUGUGCAAGUUAGAAAUGUUCCUCUAACUGACAAUUAUGUAAAUGACAUGAUUGCACACAAAUACAGAUUACAUGUAUUCAAUCGAACACUCACCUGCUGUCAAUCAAAUGAGCUUCUCCGAUUAUUUGUAUAUCGUAAUUAUAUAUUUAUACAAUAUCAUAUGAUAUGAAUAUUAAGCAUAUAUACUGUCAUACCGAAUACAACAACAAUACAAAAUGAAAGAAUAUUACAUUAAAAAACAUUGUGGUAUUCAUGCAUGCUUAAGAAAAGGAACAAUAACGAUAUUCACAUUAUAAAAUAUUAUUGUGACUUGUUCGUACAUGUUUGUUAAAGGUCAACAGAAGAAAUCUGCUUAACUGUUCAUAUUUUAUAAAGUAAUACCAUAUUAUAACAACAAAGUAAAAAAAUAAAAUUAAAAAAAAAAGUUAGAGCUAAAAAAACGAUGAUUUUGAUGAUCGGGAAUUUCCGUAACGCGUUCGGCAAUUUCCGCCGCUAUUUUACCCCGAUGACGUAUGUGUGCACCACUGCGCAUGACGAAUAUUCCCAUGUUAUGUACAGUAUGCACUGAAGCAUGCAAAUUUCCCUCAAAACUUCAAGGAUUACAAGACUGUGUUGAUCAUUCACUUGCAUAUACUUAAUUUAUAAUCUCUUUUGUGUUGAUUACGAGUCGAACUUCUACAUGACAUUGAGGAUUCACUGAUUUAUAAGAUGGUUCAUUGUGCAGCGUUUGGCUGCAAUGCUCGUUCUGAAAAGCAAACGGAGAAGAAAGGAUUCUUCGGCUUCUCAAAGGACGAAAGUAUUAAGCGGAAAUGGAUUCUAGCCGUGAAUUCACGAAGGAUUAUCGACGGAAAGGUGGUGGACUUUACGCCAAGCAAAUAUGCAAAACUCUGCAUAAAACAUUUUGAGGAUAAGUGCUUUGUCCACCCCCCCCCCCCCCCCCGAGUGUGAUGGCGAGUGCGGGCUUUGGGAUGAGACUGUCGCUGCAUCCUGAUGCAGUGCCAACUUUGUUCCCUGACACGGACAACUUCAAGGCAUUACAGCCGAAAGCCCUAAGGCCAGACGAGUUAGGAGCCCCCAAACGGAAACGUGACAACUAUGGUGCUUUUGCCAAGAGAAAUCGCAAAACGGCUCGAAGGCGCACAAGGAAUUACUGUUGGUCAUCGGAAGCAAGCGUCUUCUCUCUGACAUUCGCAUGCUGUCACCAGCUGAACAGACCUCGAUGCUGGAGGCUCAACACAAGGUGGUCUGCCAAUUUGCGCCAAAAUUUGUCUGCUUUUCAUACGCAGCAAUGAAACAGAGAUUGCAUCUGGCAGCCCUGCAUUCCGUUUCUAAUGCGCACAGGAAACAUGCAGAGAAGAAGAACGGCGAAAAGCGCUACAGGAUUUCGUAUCCAAAGUACAAGGCGGGACACCAUGUCGUGAAACCUGUCAAAGAGGCCUGCAAUUAUGAUUAUGUCACAGAGCUCAUGGUUGAAUUGCUGCAAUUAAAACAGUUCAAGAGCACCCGGAUUGCUAAGCAGGCAUCUUCUUCCAUUCUGUUCUCUCCACCACCAUUAGCAUCAUCUGCGAAGAAAAUUUUAAAGAAUGAAGCAGUGCAGUUGCACCGCUCUAGGUUUAAUUAAUUACAGUAAUUGGAAACAACUUGGCAUGCCAUUUGUCAUGUAUUGCUCCAGCUGGGUUUAGUGUACGUGCGUAAGGUGUCAUCCCAGAUUAGCCUGUGCCAUAUAUGUUUGUAAUUAAUUAAAAAAAUCCUCGCGCUGGAAAGAUGGGACAAAGCGUGCGCAAAAUAUCUCGUCCCAUAUUAGCCUGUGUCCCUGAUAAGACUGUGCAGACUCGACGUGAAAACAUGAUAUGCCCCAAGUUUUAUAUGACAAUGUCUACGAAUGUGCCCUUUUGACAAAUUAGAACCUAGCUGAAGCACUGAUCACGUAUUGUUUCAAAUUAACAUAGCAACUACAAUUAUUUUUUUGAAAAAUGUGAAUGUAUUAUUUUGACAAAUAUGCUGUAAUAAUAGUUUUCCCAUUGUGUGCUAUACUGUUAGUAUAAAAAUGUUAAUGUCAACACCUUUAUUUUUAAAUGUUGGGACCAUGUAGUGUUUUUUGUGUGAUAGUAUUGGUCUGUAAAAGAUGUUUUAGAAGUCAUUUUGUUAAAGGUACUUAAUAUGACUCCAUGACAAGUUGUAUUGCAACAUUGUGCUAGUAAAGCUCAUUUACUUAUUCCGUCCAGUUUUCUAAAACUUGUCGUCAGGUUACAAGUUGUUCUGUUGUUGUGUCUGUGGUAAUUUAUAUUUUUAGAUGUUGCAAUAAACUUGUAUGCUACAUA